ACGUCAACCAGGAUGUGAGGUCAUUGAGUGAAUGUGUUUGUGUCGUGUGUGUGUGUGUGGAGAGCAUGAGAGAGUGGUUGUUUGUGUGCAUGAAUGAAUGAAUGAAUGUUUGCGUUUUGUGAGUGUGUGUGAGAAUGAGACCUUUUUAAAAAUCUACACCAUGAUCUUAUUUGAUCUUAUCCGAGUUGUUGCCCUGCUUGGAUACAGAGAUGAUAGUAACCGACUCGGGAGCUUCUGUAGCGAUGAUCGUGAGGCUUUUUUACUCAGGGCAUCCACAGUUGAAACUGUGGUAAGACAUGAUGAAUCGAUCAGAUAUACUAGAGCAGGAAGGUGCUGGAUCUUGGUCCAAUACGCCCUGUUUGUUCACUGAGUAUAACAGCGAUUCUGAUCUCA